rnacentral:rRNA from 1 species
UACGGGGGGAGCAAGCGUUGUUCGGAUUUACUGGGCGUAAAGGGCGCGUAGGCGGCCACCGCAAGUCGGUUGUGAAAUCUCCGGGCUUAACCCGGAAAGGUCAAUCGAUACUGCGGGGCUAGAGUGCAGAAGGGGCAACUGGAAUUCUCGGUGUAGCGGUGAAAUGCGCAGAUAUCAGGAGGAACACCGGUGGCGAAGGCGGGUCUCUGGGCCGUAACUGACGCUGAGGAGCGAAAGCGUGGGGAGCGAACAGG